AUUGAACGCUGGCGGCAUGCCUUACACAUGCAAGUCGAACGGUAACAGGUCUUCGGAUGCUGACGAGUGGCGAACGGGUGAGUAAUACAUCGGAACGUGCCCAGACGUGGGGGAUAACGAGGCGAAAGCUUUGCUAAUACCGCAUACGAUCUAAGGAUGAAAGCAGGGGACCGCAAGGCCUUGCGCGUUUGGAGCGGCCGAUGGCAGAUUAGGUAGUUGGUGGGAUAAAAGCUUACCAAGCCGACGAUCUGUAGCUGGUCUGAGAGGACGACCAGCCACACUGGGACUGAGACACGGCCCAGACUCCUACGGGAGGCAGCAGUGGGGAAUUUUGGACAAUGGGCGAAAGCCUGAUCCAGCAAUGCCGCGUGCAGGAUGAAGGCCUUCGGGUUGUAAACUGCUUUUGUACGGAACGAAAAGGCUCUGGCUAAUACCUGGGGCACAUGACGGUACCGUAAGAGUAAGCACCGGCUAACUACGUG
rnacentral:rRNA from 1 species